rnacentral:misc_RNA from 1 species
GAUGAAGAACGCAGCGAAAUGCGAUAAGUAAUGUGAAUCGCAGAAUUCAGUGAAUCAUCGAAUCUUUGAACGCACAUUGCGCCCCUUGGUAUUCCAUGGGGCAUGCCUGUUCGAGCGUCAUUUGUACCUUCAAGCUUUGCUUGGUGUUGGGUGUUUGUCUCGCCUUUGCGUGUAGACUCGCCUUAAAAUAAUUGGCAGCCGGCGUAUUGAUUUCGGAGCGCAGUACAUCUCGCGCUUUGCACUCAUAACGACAGCGUCCAAAAGUACAUUUUACACUCUUGACCUCGGAUCAGGUAGGGAUACCCGCUGAACUUAAGCAUAUCAAUAAGCGGAGGA